AUUGAACGCUGGCGGCAUGCUUUACACGUGCAAGUCGGACGGCAGCACAGAGAAGCUUGCUUCUUGGGUGGCGAGUGGCGAACGGGUGAGUAACAUAUCGGAACGUACCGAGCAGUGGGGGAUAACUAAUCGAAAGAUUAGCUAAUACCGCAUAUUUUCUGAGGAAGAAAGCAGGGGACCUUUGGGCCUUGCGCUGUUUGAGCGGCCGAUAUCUGAUUAGCUAGUUGGUGGGGUAAAGGCCUACCAAGGCGACGAUCAGUAGCGGGUCUGAGAGGAUGAUCCGCCACACUGGGACUGAGACACGGCCCAGACUCCUACGGGAGGCAGCAGUGGGGAAUUUUGGACAAUGGGCGCAAGCCUGAUCCAGCCAUGCCGCGUGUCUGAAGAAGGCCUUCGGGUUGUAAAGGACUUUUGUCAGGGAAGAAAAGGGCGGGGUUAAUACCCCUGUCUGAUGACGGUACCUGAAGAAUAAGCACCGGCUAACUACGUG
rnacentral:rRNA from 1 species